rnacentral:rRNA from 1 species
CAAGCGUUGUCCGGAUUUAUUGGGCGUAAAGAGCGUGUAGGCGGCUUUACAGGUCCGUUGUGAAAACUCGAGGCUCAACCUCGAGACGCCGGUGGAAACCGUAAAGCUAGAGUCCGGAAGAGGAGAGUGGAAUUCCUGGUGUAGCGGUGAAAUGCGCAGAUAUCAGGAAGAACACCCGUGGCGAAGGCGGCUCUCUGGGACGGUACUGACGCUGAGACGCGAAAGCGUGGGGAGCGAACAGG